AUUGAACGCUGGCGGCAUGCCUUACACAUGCAAGUCGAACGGCAGCGCGGGGCAACCUGGCGGCGAGUGGCGAACGGGUGAGUAAUAUAUCGGAACGUACCCUGGAGUGGGGGAUAACGUAGCGAAAGUUACGCUAAUACCGCAUACGAUCUAAGGAUGAAAGUGGGGGAUUCGCAAGAACCUCAUGCUCCUGGAGCGGCCGAUAUCUGAUUAGCUAGUUGGUGGGGUAAAGGCUCACCAAGGCUUCGAUCAGUAGCUGGUCUGAGAGGACGACCAGCCACACUGGAACUGAGACACGGUCCAGACUCCUACGGGAGGCAGCAGUGGGGAAUUUUGGACAAUGGGCGCAAGCCUGAUCCAGCAAUGCCGCGUGAGUGAAGAAGGCCUUCGGGUUGUAAAGCUCUUUUGUCAGGGAAGAAACGGUGAAGGCUAAUAUCCUUUGCUAAUGACGGUACCUGAAGAAUAAGCACCGGCUAACUACGUGCCAGCAGCCGCGGUAAUGCGUAGGGUGCAAGCGUUAAUCGGAAUUACUGGGCGUAAAGCGUGCGCAGGCGGUUUUGUAAGUUUGUCGUGAAAGCCCCGGGCUCAACCUGGGAAUUGCGAUGAAGACUGCAAGGCUUGAAUCUGGCAGAGGGGGGUAGAAUUCCACGUGUAGCAGUGAAAUGUGUAGAGAUGUGGAGGAACACCGAUGGCGAAGGCAGCCCCCUGGGUCAAGAUUGACGCUCAUGCACGAAAGCGUGGGGAGCAAACAGGAUUAGAUACCCUGGUAGUCCACGCCCUAAACGAUGUCUACUAGUUGUCGGGUUUUAAUUAACUUGGUAACGCAGCUAACGCGUGAAGUAGACCGCCUGGGGGGUACGGUCGCAAGAUUAAAACUCAAAGGAAUUGACGGGGACCCGCACAAGCGGUGGAUGAUGUGGAUUAAUUCGAUGCAACGCGAAAAACCUUACCUACCCUUGACAUGUACGGAAGGCCGGAGAGACCUGGCUGUGCUCGAAAGAGAACCGUAACACAGGUGCUGCAUGGCUGUCGUCAGCUCGUGUCGUGAGAUGUUGGGUUAAGUCCCGCAACGAGCGCAACCCUUGUCAUUAGUUGCUACGAAAGGGCACUCUAAUGAGACUGCCGGUGACAAACCGGAGGAAGGUGGGGAUGACGUCAAGUCCUCAUGGCCCUUAUGGGUAGGGCUUCACACGUCAUACAAUGGUACAUACAGAGGGCCGCCAACCCGCGAGGGGGAGCUAAUCCCAGAAAGUGUAUCGUAGUCCGGAUUGUAGUCUGCAACUCGACUACAUGAAGUUGGAAUCGCUAGUAAUCGCGGAUCAGCAUGUCGCGGUGAAUACGUUCCCGGGUCU
rnacentral:rRNA from 1 species